rnacentral:rRNA from 1 species
CCUACGGGAGGCAGCAGUGGGGAAUAUUGCGCAAUGGGCGAAAGCCUGACGCAGCGACGCCGCGUGAGGGAUGAAGGUCUUCGGAUCGUAAACCUCUGUCAGCAGGGAAGAACGGUCACUGUGCUAAUCAGCAGUGAAUUGACGGUACCUGAAGAAGAAGCCCCGGCUAACUACGUGCCAGCAGCCGCGGUAAUACGUAGGGGGCAAGCGUUAUCCGGAUUUACUGGGUGUAAAGGGGGCGCAGACGGCGAUGCAAGCCAGGAGUGAAAGCCCGGGGCCCAACCCCGGGACUGCUCUUGGAACGGCGUGGCUGGAGUGCAGGAGGGGCAGGCGGAAUUCCUGGUGUAGCGGUGAAAGGCGUAGAUAUCAGGAGGAACACCGGUGGCGAAGGCGGCCUGCUGGACUGCAACUGACGUUGAGGCCCGAAAGCGUGGGGAGCAAACAGGAUUAGAUACCCCAGUAGUC